AUAAGUACAGUGAGAUGGCAUAUAUAAACAGUCCAUUAGAUAUGCUCUUUUAAAAUAGUGACACAUCCAUUAAUGCAUUUCACAAUCAUCAGUGCACUGUCUUGUCUAAAUGCUAUUGUUAUCACAGUCCUUACCCUUACUGGAAAAAGAUGCAUACAUUUUCCUGACAAUGGUGUUGUUCAGAGUGACAGGCGUAGGAGAAAGCUUUUAUCACCUAGACACUUAGCAGCAGUUUAGCUACAGUAGCAGCUACAGUUUUAUGCCAAAAGUUCAACAGAUUUUUUCCUUUUUUUCUUUUUUUAACCAUUUGCAAAAUCAACAGGAAAAACAGAGGUACAGCACGUUAAAAGCUGUCACUACCAGUUUGGUGCUGCAGCUCUAUCACAUGCAUGGUCUUACAUGAACUGUGAAGCAUGGUGUAAGAAAGAACAAUUCCAGGAAGGGUUUUUGGAUCUAAUGCUGGAAUCUUUGAUAUACACAUUUUUUUCCCCAAACACAGCAGUACAUACAGCAAAACAUGUCAGACCAUUUACUCUUCUUAAGCUACUGCUGUCUGAGAUAAAAUAUAGCACGGAAGAUUAUUCUUAAAAGAGGGUAUUUCAUGCUUAUAAAGUCAUUUCAGUGUUGCUAUUUUCAGAGCAGAUUAGUAAGAAAGAGUACUUGCUAGUAACAUAAUUAUGGUUAAUAUUCCUUUGAGAUACGAAUGAAGUUAGGACUUUUCCUUUCCUUAUGUGGCAUUAAGCAUUUCGCCUGUGUACUUUUUGCACAUUCUCCCUCAAUAUUUUCCUUCAACUAAUCACCCACAAUGAGGCCUUUCUGAAGCAGUGAUUUCAGUUUCUGGACAGAGGCGGGGGGGUUUACAAAAGUGCUCUCUAUUGGCCUCAUUAUGCUCCCAGUGAACACAAUUGGCAUUCAGUACUGACUGAAGGCACAGUGUUGGCCUCAAAAUGAGCACUUUGGAAAAUUUCAUGUAAGAGUCUAAAGGCCACAAAUCAUGUUAAAAUCACAGACUAUCCAACUAUACUGGUUUUACUCAUGUGUUUCUAAGGUAAAUAACUGAAACGUAGUGAAAUUUAUUAGAUAGAGGAAUCUAUCUGGAAUCCAAAUAUAGGAAACUAUCUAACCAACUUUCCCCAAAUGAACAAUUCCAUUUCAAAAAAGUUUCUAUUUUCUUAAAUAUACAUUUGACUCAUGGUAACUCAUUUGCCUUAGCACACUUAGUAACUGCUGACAAGAUCAGUUCCCUAGAGCAGUUCUACAUACAAACAAAACACUAAAAUAAAAAGAAACAAAUUAAAAAUCCUCAUCCUCAUUUUCUUUUGUAUUCAAAAAGGAAAGAAAGCAACAUUACCAUCUUUCAUACUUGAUUUAGGUUGUUUUGUUAUACAUACUCUCUUCUCUGUAAAACAAUGAACUUGCUUUAAUACAAAUAGAUACAGUGUUAUUGAAAAAGCAAAUGAAUUCUUCCAUUUUACAGGAUGAAUCAUUACUAGAAAUGAAAACUUAUGCUUUUUUUUUAUAAACUGCUGGCAUGAUGUAGAGGUCUGUCCCAGCUUCAAGCCUGUCCUGUUUUUUUUCUGCUCUUAUAAUUAUUGAAUGUCGAAGUAUUUCUCUUGAAGAGACAGAAUAAUUUUUAACUUUAAACUAAUAUGCAAAUGUCAUUUGUCAUAUAAUGCUAUAUAAACAAUGACUUCAGAAAUCUACUUCCAAUUAUGCACAGCAUGUAGAGUCUGUGCUUUUGAAGGUACACUAUCUGAGUCAGCAGUUUGGGAAAAAACCUUCAGUUCUGCCUAUUCACUUCAGUAACUAUUUACAUCUCAUUUCUACUACUCCAUUAACCUUGGACACUGACAUGCUUCAUGAUUACAUAUAUUCAGUCUAUAAAAUGUUUUUGUAUAGUGUCACAGAUCUGCAUUGCGCCAUACAGAAAAGCAAAAAUCACACUUCCUGGCAAAAGAGCAGGAACAGAGACUGGCUGGAUUAAGACAAUAGGAAGGGCACAAGAUAAUAUAAACUGAUUAAGCUGUGUGUUCCAAUUGCUGUCUGGGGCUUGUUAUUACUGUGUUUAGGUCUAUCAUAUAUUUUUACAGCAGAAAAAUCAGUAGCAAUCAAAAAAAGGUGUUUAUUGUGGAGAGCAAUUUGCAUUCCAGAAGGAAAUGAAAUAGCAUCUCCACAGUGGCUGAACAGAAAACCUGUAAGGAAAGGACCAACUGUGUAUCAGGAAGCUGAUCAAGGUAGCUGAUGACCCACUGAUUGCACAGAGCACAGGGAUGUGGGCAGAGGUUUGGAAGGUGUGAGGGCAGUAAGGCAUUGCCUAUUCCAUAUGUUUACUUGUUUGGAAUGCAGAGCAUACGGAAGCAGAAGCGGGGCCUUUGUGUAGUGAUGGCAAGUGUGACUGGUCCACAAUAUGGCCAAAGGGUCAAUUCCUUGUCUGAAGGUAACAGUGACUCCCUCAUUCCGGCCCAGAAUUGAACCAUAAAUAGCUGCAGUGAAUCUUAGGAAACAGAGAUGACUCAUUUAUGUCUACUGUAGAGGACUUAUUUCCCGCCAGGGGAACUCUGAGCAUCUUCAUUACCUUCCACUGGAUUUGCUUCACCCUUUCCACAACUUUCUUGUGCUGAGGAUCUGGAUGCAGUACUCCAGGUGGGGUCUCACAAGGACAGAGGAGAGGGGGAGAAAGAAACAUCUCCCUCAAGGUGGUUGCCUCAAUUUCUUGACACAGGAUAAAAUAAGGGCUGGGAAUCGAUGAAGAUUCAAGAGAGACUGUAUAUAAUUUACAAGUACAGAUUCAUGGAUUAUGACAGUCUAUGAGCUUCUGUAUAUGCAUUAUCCUCUGAGUGUAUGACCCUGGGCAGUGAACAGGAAGAGAUGUCAGUGUGGCAACCUGGAGAUCUUUUCUAGCACACCUGUCUUAAAGAAUUGUAACAAAGAAGCCUAUAAAUUAAUUGUAUGUUUUGCAGGCAUUGGUAAGUUCUUACAGGCAAACAUUUUUCAAUCUCUUUUGUAGGGUGAUAAAUGAUAAAUAACAAAAACAAAAAAGGAAAAA